CCUGGUGGCUCAGAGGUUAAAGCGUCUGCCUGCAAUGCAGGACACCCGGGUUCGACCCCUGGGUCAGGA
rnacentral:tRNA from 1 species